CGGCGGUAUCAGGUUAAAAUACCGGUUCUCGUAGGAUCAAGCAAGUUAAGCAACGUCGAGCCUGCUCAGUACCUAGAUGGGUGACCGCAUGAGAAUAUCAAGUGCUGGA